UGUAGAAAUCAGUGGAAUGGUAUCAGUAGCAAAGCAAGCAAUGUAACACAUGAAGAAUUAAAUAACUGUAACUGUAUCUCUAUCUCUUGUCAGGACGUUUUCUGACUAAGCUCCCCACCUUUCUUUCUAUGCUUGAAAUAAGAAAAUAGAUGUAUUUUUAAAUCUUGAUAGUUGACUAAGUAAUUUCUUUAAUUAAGUAAUCUUCUUGUAAUAAUGGGGAAAAAAUGGGAUAGGGGUCAGAUCCCUUGAUAUAUCAGGGAGAAGUAACCAACCUUUUAUGUAAAUAGGGGGUUCAAGACAGGCAGAAAGCUAGUUAUCACUUCUAGACUACUCAUUUUAAUCUCUCUUUGGAUAGUGCAUUAACUCCUAAGAACAGUAAUUUUUAACCACAAGUGAAUGAAUUAAGGCAUGAAUGAACCAGGCAAAAAAAAAAUAAGUGUGGCUACAGUAAGAGGUCUGAGUUCAAGGUUUAAAAUAAGGAAGAGGGAACCUUUGUUGCACAAAAUCAUUGCAAAUAAAAUUUGUGACUUGUUUUCUAGGAGUUUCAAAAAACUAUAGCCUGAGGCAUUACAAGAAAGUUCAGGUUCAGUGGGCUGGUACAGAUACAAGCUGGCAAUUCAGGGCAGUUUAUAAGCUUUAUAAGCUUUAUAAGUUAAUUGUUCAGCAAAGAGAGAGAAAUUACAGGUGCCAUGGUUUCAAAAGAAUAUCACCCAGAUUUUGAUGCCUGCUUCAACAUUAGUAGCAAUGAAGGUAAUAAAUAUAUGUUUUCCCAGAUGAAAAUGUAGAAUUUUUCAGAUCUUGAGACAGAUAUCCAUCUAUUAUGGACUUGUAACAGGAAAUAAUUACUUGAGGUAUUGAGAAGUGUCCCACAGUUUUUUCUAUGUCUGUCUUACAUACAUGCUUAUAAACCUGUGUGUGAUUUGUAACACAUGCCGUGUAAUGCUGGACAAAAUUAACAAUAUAUCAAGGAUAAGAAGGAUGAAACACUUUACAUUACAGCAAAGUAUUCUGAAGAAUACUGAGGUCCCUGUUUGUUUUCAUAUUUGUAUUAAGAAUGUUGUCAGAAGAAAGGAAAAUGUUGCAACAGGGUAAAACUCCUUUCAGUAAAAGGAGUUGUCUUCAUAACUUUUCUACUAACUACAUACUUAAACUGUUGAUAUUUUUGUUUCCUAAGAAGAACACAGAACAAAGAGACCCUCCAAAAGUACAGCUGUGAUCUCUGACUUAACAUCACCCCGUGAAACAUGGGUCAUAGAAGUAUGAGAAGACCUGAAAUUCCUCCUCGAAUUCCAGUGUCACACAGUUAAGGAAAACAUGAUGCAAGUCUAGUGGUUUUUCAGAAUGUAUCCAUGAAAUAAAUAGUACAAGAUGGUACUGGGUUGACCCUGGCUGGACGUCAUGUGCUUACAAAAGUGGCUCUAUCAUUCCCUCUCUUCAGCUGGAUAAGCAAGAGAAAAUGUGAUAAAACCUUGUGGGUUGAGAAGAGGAUGAGGAGGGAUCACUCACCAAUUACCAUCAUGGAUGAAAUGGACUCAGCUUGGGGGAAUUAACUGAAUUUAUUAUCAAUAAAUAAGAGAAGGAUAAUGAGAAAUAAAAGCAAAUCU